rnacentral:rRNA from 1 species
CCGCCGGCGACCGGCGCACGGGUGAGGUAACACGUAUGCAACCUGGCCGUGACAGAUGGGAGUAAACCGGGAGAAAUACCGCCUAUACAGCAUGACGCCGGGAAGGGGACAUCCCUUUCCGGCCAAAGGGGGCGACUCCGGUCACGGAUGGGCAUGCGGCGCAUUAGGUAGUUGGUGGGGCAACGGCCCACCAAGCCGACGAUGCGUAGGGGUUCUGAGAGGAAGGUCCCCCACAUUGGAACUGAGACACGGUCCAAACUCCUACGGGAGGCAGCAG